GGUUAAGCGACUAAGCGUACACGGUGGAUGCCCUGGCAGUCAGAGGCGAUGAAGGACGUGCUAAUCUGCGAUAAGCGCCGGUAAGGUGAUAUGAACCGUUAUAACCGGCGAUUUCCGAAUGGGGAAACCCAGUGUGACUCGUCACACUAUCAUUAACUGAAUCCAUAGGUUAAUGAGGCGAACCGGGGGAACUGAAACAUCUAAGUACCCCGAGGAAAAGAAAUCAACCGAGAUUCCCCCAGUAGCGGCGAGCGAACGGGGAGGAGCCCAGAGCCUGAAUCAGCAUGUGUGUUAGUGGAAGCGUCUGGAAAGGCGCGCGAUACAGGGUGACAGCCCCGUACACAAAAGCGCAUGUGCUGUGAGCUCGAUGAGUAGGGCGGGACACGUGGUAUCCUGUCUGAAUAUGGGGGGACCAUCCUCCAAGGCUAAAUACUCCUGACUGACCGAUAGUGAACCAGUACCGUGAGGGAAAGGCGAAAAGAACCCCGGCGAGGGGAGUGAAAAAGAACCUGAAACCGUGUACGUACAAACAGUGGGAGCACCCUUCGGGGUGUGACUGCGUACCUUUUGUAUAAUGGGUCAGCGACUUAUAUUCUGUAGCAAGGUUAACCGAAUAGGGGAGCCGGAGGGAAACCGAGUCUUAAUUGGGCGUUAAGUUGCAGGGUAUAGACCCGAAACCCGGUGAUCUAGCCAUGGGCAGGUUGAAGGUUGGGUAACACUAACUGGAGGACCGAACCGACUAAUGUUGAAAAAUUAGCGGAUGACCUGUGGCUGGGGGUGAAAGGCCAAUCAAACCGGGAGAUAGCUGGUUCUCCCCGAAAGCUAUUUAGGUAGCGCCUCGUGAAUUCAUCUCCGGGGGUAGAGCACUGUUUCGGCUAGGGGGCCAUCCCGGCUUACCAACCCGAUGCAAACUGCGAAUACCGGAGAAUGUUAUCACGGGAGACACACGGCGGGUGCUAACGUCCGUCGUGAAGAGGGAAACAACCCAGACCGCCAGCUAAGGUCCCAAAGUCAUGGUUAAGUGGGAAACGAUGUGGGAAGGCCCAGACAGCCAGGAUGUUGGCUUAGAAGCAGCCAUCAUUUAAAGAAAGCGUAAUAGCUCACUGGUCGAGUCGGCCUGCGCGGAAGAUGUAACGGGGCUAAACCAUGCACCGAAGCUGCGGCAGCGAACGUAUCACCCAAGACAACUUUGCGGAGUUGACGAUUGACGGAGCGAAGCGACGUCAAAGCGUUCAUUAAAGUCGAGUUGGCUUAGGGAUACGUUCGUUGGGUAGGGGAGCGUUCUGUAAGCCUGUGAAGGUGUGCUGUGAGGCAUGCUGGAGGUAUCAGAAGUGCGAAUGCUGACAUAAGUAACGAUAAAGCGGGUGAAAAGCCCGCUCGCCGGAAGACCAAGGGUUCCUGUCCAACGUUAAUCGGGGCAGGGUGAGUCGACCCCUAAGGCGAGGCCGAAAGGCGUAGUCGAUGGGAAACGGGUUAAUAUUCCCGUACUUGGUGUUACUGCGAAGGGGGGACGGAGAAGGCUAUGUUGGCCGGGCGACGGUUGUCCCGGUUUAAGCGUGUAGGUGUGUGUUCCAGGUAAAUCCGGUUCACUUUAACACUGAGGCGUGACGACGAGGCACUACGGUGCUGAAGCAACAAAUGCCCUGCUUCCAGGAAAAGCCUCUAAGCAUCAGGUAACAUCAAAUCGUACCCCAAACCGACACAGGUGGUCAGGUAGAGAAUACCAAGGCGCUUGAGAGAACUCGGGUGAAGGAACUAGGCAAAAUGGUGCCGUAACUUCGGGAGAAGGCACGCUGACAUGUAGGUGAAGUGAUUUACUCAUGGAGCUGAAGUCAGUCGAAGAUACCAGCUGGCUGCAACUGUUUAUUAAAAACACAGCACUGUGCAAACACGAAAGUGGACGUAUACGGUGUGACGCCUGCCCGGUGCCGGAAGGUUAAUUGAUGGGGUCAGCGCAAGCGAAGCUCCUGAUCGAAGCCCCGGUAAACGGCGGCCGUAACUAUAACGGUCCUAAGGUAGCGAAAUUCCUUGUCGGGUAAGUUCCGACCUGCACGAAUGGCGUAAUGAUGGCCAGGCUGUCUCCACCCGAGACUCAGUGAAAUUGAACUCGCUGUGAAGAUGCAGUGUACCCGCGGCAAGACGGAAAGACCCCGUGAACCUUUACUAUAGCUUGACACUGAACAUUGAGCCUUGAUGUGUAGGAUAGGUGGGAGGCUUUGAAGUGUGGACGCCAGUCUGCAUGGAGCCGACCUUGAAAUACCACCCUUUAAUGUUUGAUGUUCUAACGUGGACCCGUAAUCCGGGUUGCGGACAGUGUCUGGUGGGUAGUUUGACUGGGGCGGUCUCCUCCUAAAGAGUAACGGAGGAGCACGAAGGUUGGCUAAUCCUGGUCGGACAUCAGGAGGUUAGUGCAAUGGCAUAAGCCAGCUUGACUGCGAGCGUGACGGCGCGAGCAGGUGCGAAAGCAGGUCAUAGUGAUCCGGUGGUUCUGAAUGGAAGGGCCAUCGCUCAACGGAUAAAAGGUACUCCGGGGAUAACAGGCUGAUACCGCCCAAGAGUUCAUAUCGACGGCGGUGUUUGGCACCUCGAUGUCGGCUCAUCACAUCCUGGGGCUGAAGUAGGUCCCAAGGGUAUGGCUGUUCGCCAUUUAAAGUGGUACGCGAGCUGGGUUUAGAACGUCGUGAGACAGUUCGGUCCCUAUCUGCCGUGGGCGCUGGAGAACUGAGGGGGGCUGCUCCUAGUACGAGAGGACCGGAGUGGACGCAUCACUGGUGUUCGGGUUGUCAUGCCAAUGGCACUGCCCGGUAGCUAAAUGCGGAAGAGAUAAGUGCUGAAAGCAUCUAAGCACGAAACUUGCCCCGAGAUGAGUUCUCCCUGAGACUUUAGGUCUCCUGAAGGAACGUUGAAGACGACGACGUUGAUAGGCCGGGUGUGUAAGCGCAGCGAUGCGUUGAGCUAACCGGUACUAAUGAACCGUGAGGCUUAACCUU
rnacentral:rRNA from 1 species